AAAAAAAAAAGCGGUCAAGAACUUCUCUCCCAGACACAAACUAUUUCUUCCCCAGGGCAGUAUUUCCCAAUUAUCCUUUCCUGUCAUCAUCACCUUCUUCUUGUCUGGGCUCAUCAACAUUUCAGCCAAGUUAUCAAGCUGCGAAGUCACUGGGAAAAUCAGGACCUCACACCAAGAUGAUCAUCUUUGAACCACAGAAAA
rfam:Myotis lucifugus cont2.14044, whole genome shotgun sequence.